GGGUCGGUGCCCGAGUGGUUAAUGGGGGUGGACUGUAAAUCCACUGGCUAUGCCUACGUUGGUUCAAAUCCAACCCGGCCCA
rnacentral:tRNA from 1 species